AUGAAUCUCAGCUGAACUGUGCUGCUCUAAAGCCUGAAUGCUUCUGACCGUGAAACCUAUGUGAUAUCUGUCACAGUCUUGAAUCUUACUCUUGGUGGAGUGUGAGUCAUCUCCUAACCCGGUUCCCCUGUGGCAUUUAGGAUCUUAGGCUUUGGCCUUUUCCCUUACCCUCUCAGCUGUCAUCAGCCCAUGGCCUCUACAUGCUUUGCCCUUGUCUGUUUCUGUUAAGCUGCCCAUCACCUUGAUGUUGUCCUGGGCUGCCAUUUCCUAGACAAGGACUAAUGUUUCUCUACAGAUCCUCUUAACCAUGUCCUGGGAUGUCCUCAUGCUGUUCUGUUUUCUCUCCAGCUCUGCCAUCCCUAUUCUCAGUUACUCCAGUACAUGGAAAGAUACAGGAAGCGUUUGAAGGCCAAGAACCUAAUGUACAUCAAGCAAAUCCUGUACUUGCUGGAGAAGUUUGUGGCUGUUUUGCGAGGUAGGGGCAUCCUAGUACACAGAGCCUGCUCCAGACAGGAUCUGAACUGAAGAGCAUCAAUGACUUUCUCUUUCAGAGUCAGGUGGACAACAUCAACCUGUUCAAGGUAAAGGUCUAUUCUGAUUUAAGCACCUUCUGAUUUACUUAAAGCUAGAAAGGAGAGGUAGGGGUGGAAUGCAGCUGUUGCAGAG